UUGACGGGGGCCCGCACAAACGGUGGAGCNAUGUGGUUAAAUUUCCGAUGCAACCGCGAAGAACCCUUACCCUACUCUUGACCAUCCCAGAGACUUAGCAAGAGAUGCUUUGGUGCNUUCGGGAACUCUGAGACAGGUGCUGCAUGGCUGUCGUCAGCUCGUGCUGUGAAAUGUUGGGUUAAGUCCCGCAACGAGCGCAACCCAUUAUCACUUUGUUGCCAGCGGUCCGGCCGGGAACUCAAAGGUAGACUGCCAGUGUAUAAACUGGUAGGAAGGUGGGGAUGUACGUCAAGUCNAUCUAUGGCCACUUACGAGUAGGGCUACUACUACGUGCUACANAUGGCGCAUACANAAGAGAAGCGACACUCGCGAGAGCAAGCGGACACUCAUAAAGUGCGUCGUAGUCCGGUAUUGGAGUCUGCAACUCGACUCCAUGAAGUCGGAAUCGCUAGUAAUCGUGGAUCAGANAUGCCACGGUGAAUACGUUCCCGGGCNUUGUACACACCGCCCGUCUACACCAUGGGAGUGGGUUGCAAAAGAAGUAGGUAGCUUAACACUUCGGGAGGGCGCUUACCACUUUGUGAUUCAUGACUGGGGUGAAGUCGUAACAAUGUAAU
rnacentral:rRNA from 1 species